AAUUAUUUUCACACGUCUUACUUUUCCCUUGUAAAGUUUCAAGAUAGAGAGACAACGAGACUCCUUAUUGAAAAAGGUGACAAAAGCAAAAUUUUCAAAAUCGGCUGCUCUAUUCAUCAUAAAGCCUUUAGACCAACAUUUCUGCCCAUCUCCUACCACAUUGUCAACUUGGGUUUUCUCUUUGUGCCAAUUUGGUUUAUAUAUUAUAUAUUAUAUUAGAUAAUAUAACUCAAGAAAUUAAACAGAGACUCUAUAAAUCUGGCUUUCAGGGUUCUCACUAGUAUGUAUUCACACUGAAGUCUAGCUUCUGCAAGUUCUUGUUCUUCCAUGAUGGGCAGUUUUCUUGCAAAGUUGGUUUUAGCCCUAGUAGCAGUACAUCUUCUUGUGUGUGUUCUCCCUGCAACUUCUACAUUACUCCCUCACGGUAAAUAUAAAAACUCAAAGCACGACAUCAUUCAGUUUUACGAUUUACCAUUUACUGAUAUUGCAUAUUGCAUUACAUGCGUUGUAUAGAUAUAGUUGGAUUUUUACUCGAUCACUGUAGCUUAUCAUAUUUCGAGGAUCACACUUUCUCGGUAUUAACCUAACAACAUUCCUUGAUUGGUGUAAAUUCUUGUGGCUGAAGGUAGAAAGGAGAGUUUGUUACAUGCUGGGUGCAGAGAUGGCUUGAGGAAGAUAAUUGGAAGAAAUCCUGGCUGCAGUCUAAAGAACAAUGGUUUCCUCGCCGCCUGCACCGGCUAAAGGUCAACGAUCAUCGAUGGGUCAUUCUACACCUCCUCCUAUUGCUAAAUGAUUGCUCUCUUCUUUUACCUGUUAUAUGGAUAUAGGCCAUUCCCAAGAGAAGUGAUAGUGUUUCAACUGUGCUGCCUCAUUUGCAAGUACACUUGGCCUGGGGGGUCUUUUUUCAAUUCUACAGAAAAUCUGUUGUCUGAUUUAUUAUUAUUAUUAUUAUUAUUAUUAUUAUUAUUAUUUAUCCAGUUGCUCUGAUCUAAAUAUCUGAACCUUUCCGUUUCAAAAAAGAAAAAAAAAAUCCUAAAAUCUGAACUGUUAGAACAAUCAAAUGUCAAGUGUAUAAUAUAUAACAAUUAUACAGUUUAUCUUGAAUAGAAAUUUCACAAAUAUACGAUAUAUCUUACAAUAUGAACAAUUUAAUGAAUUUGAAUAACAAAUCACAAAAAACAAAAAAACACUGACUUGUUUU
rnacentral:lncRNA from 1 species